GGAGGAGUCGCUUAGUUGGUCCAUAGCGGUGGUUUGCUAAACCGCUGAGGCGCAAGCCUCACGUGGGUUCGAAUCCCACCUCCUCCG
rnacentral:tRNA from 2 species